rnacentral:rRNA from 1 species
UACGUAGGGUGCAAGCGUUAACCGGAAUUACUGGGCGUAAAGCGUACGCAGGCGGUUUUGUAAGUCUGUCGUGAAAGCGCCGGGCUCAACCUGGGAAUUGCGAUGGAGACUGCAAGGCUUGAAUCUGGCAGAGGGGGGUAGAAUUCCACGUGUAGCAGUGAAAUGCGUAGAGAUGUGGAGGAACACCGAUGGCGAAGGCAGCCCCCUGGGUCAAGAUUGACGCUCAUGCACGAAAGCGUGGGGAGCAAACAGG